GCUGCCCCAUAGAUGCCCCACGGACAGACCCACAGACAGAUCCGACCCACAGCUGCCCCAUAGCUGACCCACGGAUUGACCCACGGAUGGACCUGACCCACGGCUGCCCCAUAGCUGCCCCAUGCCCCACGGACGGACCUGACCCACGGCUGCCCCAUAGAUACCCCACGGACCAAUCUGAGCCACAGACGGACCCACGGAUGCACCUGAGCCACGGACAGACCCACGGACAGCCCUGCCCCACAGCUGCCCCAUAGCCAGCCCUGACCCCGCCCCCUUCAUGUGCCUUGACCAAUGGGAGCUGAGCCCCUCUCAGUCCCGGCCAAUAGGAGGCCGUGCUGCAGAGGGGGCGGAGCUUUGCAAUAAACGCCUGGGUGCAACCACGUGGGGGAGA